AGUGAACGCUGGCGGUAGGCCUAACACAUGCAAGUCGAACGGCAGCACAGGAGAGCUUGCUCUCUGGGUGGCGAGUGGCGGACGGGUGAGGAAUACAUCGGAAUCUACCUUGUCGUGGGGGAUAACGUAGGGAAACUUACGCUAAUACCGCAUACGACCUUCGGGUGAAAGUGGGGGACCGCAAGGCCUCACGCGAUUAGAUGAGCCGAUGUCGGAUUAGCUAGUUGGCGGGGUAAAAGCCCACCAAGGCGACGAUCCGUAGCUGGUCUGAGAGGAUGAUCAGCCACACUGGAACUGAGACACGGUCCAGACUCCUACGGGAGGCAGCAGUGGGGAAUAUUGGACAAUGGGCGCAAGCCUGAUCCAGCCAUACCGCGUGGGUGAGGAAGGCCUUCGGGUUGUAAAGCCCUUUUGUUGGGAAAGAAAUCUUGCCGGUUAAUACCUGGCGAGGAUGACGGUACCCAAAGAAUAAGCACCGGCUAACUUCGUGCCAGCAGCCGCAGUAAUAC
rnacentral:rRNA from 1 species